AAGCAAACAAUUAUGCCCUCUGAAAGUUUUAGGUAUGUAUUUAAGGAUGUCACGAAAAUAAUUUUCCUAUUUUAGUGUUUAGGUAGAAGCUGCAUUGGAUAGCUGCGUUUCCUGUGUUUUCUGUUUGAAGCAAUGUCAUUAUAUCAGCUUAUUCUAGCCUGUAGCAUCUUGGGAGUUGGAGUAUUUCCAAUACCCAUACCUCAAUUUUAUGGUAAGAAAUAGCUUUUUUUAUUGAUUUCCAUUCUGAUCCGAUGUAUACAGACUAUAA